GUGAGGAAUAUUGGUCAAUGGGCGCGAGCCUGAACCAGCCAAGUCGCGUGAAGGAAGAAGGAUCUAUGGUUCGUAAACUUCUUUUGCAGGGGAAUAAAGUGCAGGACGUGUCCUGUUUUGUAUGUACCCUGAGAAUAAGGAUCGGCUAACUCCGUGCCAGCAGCCGCGGUAAUACGGAGGAUCCGAGCGUUAUCCGGAUUUAUUGGGUUUAAAGGGUGCGUAGGUGGUUUGAUAAGUCAGCGGUGAAAGUUUGCAGCUUAACUGUAAAAAUGCCGUUGAAACUGUCGGACUUGAGUGUAAAUGAGGUAGGCGGAAUGCGUGGUGUAGCGGUGAAAUGCAUAGAUAUCACGCAGAACUCCGAUUGCGAAGGCAGCUUACUAAGCUACAACUGACACUGAAGCACGAAAGCGUGGGGAUCAAACAGGAUUAGAUACCCCAGUAGUCC
rnacentral:rRNA from 1 species